rnacentral:rRNA from 1 species
UACAGAGGGUGCGAGCGUUGUCCGGAAUCACUGGGCGUAAAGGGCGCGUAGGUGGCGCGACAAGUCAGUGGUGAAAGCUCGACGCUCAACGUCGAGUCGGCCACUGAUACUGUUGGGCUUGAGCACUGUAGAGGCUAAUGGAAUUCCGGGUGUAGCGGUGGAAUGCGUAGAGAUCCGGAAGAACGCCGGUGGCGAAGGCGGCAUUCUGGACUGUAACUGACACUGAGGAACGAAAGCCAGGGGAGCAAACGGG